rnacentral:rRNA from 1 species
CGGGAGGGUGGCGGCAUGACUAUACAUGCAAGUCGAGCGGACAGAUGGGAGCUUGCUCCCUGAUGUUAGCGGCGGACGGGUGAGUAACACGUGGGUAACCUGCCUGUAAGACUGGGAUAACUCCGGGAAACCGGGGCUAAUACCGGAUGGUUGUUUGAACCGCAUGGUUCAAACAUAAAAGGUGGCUUCGGCUACCACUUACAGAUGGACCCGCGGCGCAAUAGCUAGUUGGUGAGGUAACGGCUCACCAAGGCAACGAUGCGUAGCCCACCUGAGAGGGUGAUCGGCCACACUGGGACUGAGACACGGCCCACACUCCUACGGGAGGCAGCAGUAGGGAAUCUUCCGCAAUGGACGAAAGUCUGACGGAACAACGCCGCGUGAGUGAUGAAGGUUUUCGGAUCGUAAAGCUCUGUUGUUAGGGAAGAACAAGUACCGUUCGAAUAGGGCGGUACCUUGACGGUACCUAACCAGAAAGCCACGGCUAACUACGUGCCAGCAGCCGCGGUAAUACGUAGGUGGCAAGCGUUGUCCGGAAUUAUUGGGCGUAAAGGGCUCGCAGGCGGUUUCUUAAGUCUGAUGUGAAAGCCCCCGGCUCAACCGGGGAGGGUCAUUGGAAACUGGGGAACUUGAGUGCAGAAAAGGAGAGUGGAAAUCCACGUGUAACGCUUAAAGCGUAGAGAUGUGGAGGAAACCACUG